GACGAACGCUGGCGGCGUGCUUAACACAUGCCAGUCGAACGGAAAGGCCCUGCUUUUGUGGGGUGCUCGAGUGGCGAACGGGUGAGUAACACGUGAGUAACCUGCCCUUGACUUUGGGAUAACUUCAGGAAACUGGGGCUAAUACCGGAUAGGAGCUCCUGCUGCAUGGUGGGGGUUGGAAAGUUUCGGCGGUUGGGGAUGGACUCGCGGCUUAUCAGCUUGUUGGUGGGGUAGUGGCUUACCAAGGCUUUGACGGGUAGCCGGCCUGGGAGGGUGACCGGCCACAAUGGGACUGAGGUACGGACCAGAAUCCUACGGGAGGCAGCAGUGGGGAAUAUUGCACAAUGGGCGGAAGCCUGAUGCAGAAACGCCGCGUGCGGGAUGACGGCCUUCGGGUUGUAAACCGCUUUCGCCUGUGACGAAGCGUGAGUGACGGUAAUGGGUAAAGAAGCACCGGCUAACUACGUG
rnacentral:rRNA from 1 species